GAUGAACGCUGGCGGCGUGCUUAACACAUGCAAGUCGAACGGGAUCCAAGGGGUGCUUGCACUUUUUGGUGAGAGUGGCGAACGGGUGAGUAACACGUGAGUAACCUGUCCUUUUCUUUGGGAUAAGCAUUCGAAAGGGUGUUUAAUACCUUAUGUUCUGUCUGCCUCGCAUGGGGUGGGUGGGAAAGGCUUUGGCCGGAUUUGGGUGGGCUCGCGGUCUAUCAGCUUGUUGGUGGGGUGAUGGCUUACCACGGCUUUGACGGGUAGCCGGCCUGAGAGGGUGGUCGGACACAUUGGGACUGAGGUACGGCCCAGACUCCUGCGGGAGGGAGCAGUGGGGGAUAUUGCACAAUGGGCGAAAGCCUGAUGCAGCGACGCCGCGUGGGGGAUGAAGGCCUUCGGGUUGUAAACUUCUUUUGCUCUGAACAAGGCAUGCCAGUGGGUGUGUUGAGUGUAGGGGUUGAUUAGCGCCGGCUAACUACGUG
rnacentral:rRNA from 1 species